rnacentral:rRNA from 1 species
UACGUAGGGUGCAAGCGUUGUCCGGAAUUAUUGGGCGUAAAGGGCUCGUAGGCGGUUUGUCGCGUCGGGAGUGAAAUCCACUGGCUUAACUGGUGGCUUGCUUUCGAUACGGGCAGACUGGAGGUAUGCAGGGGAGAACGGAAUUCCUGGUGUAGCGGUGAAAUGCGCAGAUAUCAGGAGGAACACCGGUGGCGAAGGCGGGUCUCUGGGCAGUAACUGACGCUGAGGAGCGAAAGCGUGGGGAGCGAACAGG